rnacentral:rRNA from 1 species
AACGAACGCUGGCGGCAUGCCUAACACAUGCAAGUCGAACGAGACCUUCGGGUCUAGUGGCGCACGGGUGCGUAACGCGUGGGAACCUGCCCUUAGGUUCGGAAUAACUCCCCGAAAGGGGUGCUAAUACCGGAUAAUGUCUUCGGACCAAAGAUUUAUCGCCUUUGGAUGGGCCCGCGUUGGAUUAGCUAGUUGGUAGGGUAAAAGCCUACCAAGGCGACGAUCCAUAGCUGGUCUGAGAGGAUGCCACGCCACACUGGGACUGCGACACGGCCCAGACUCCUACGGGAGGGAGCAGUGGGGAAUAUUGGACACUGGGCGAAAGCCUGAUCCAGCAAUGCCGCGUGAGUGAUGAAGGCCUUAGGGUUGUAAAGCUCUUUUACCCGGGAUGAUAAUGACAGUACCGGGAGAAUAAGCACCGGCUAACUCCGUG